GGCUCAGGAUGAACGCUAGCGGCAGGCUUAAUACAUGCAAGUCGUGGGGCAGCGCAGUGUAGCAAUACAUGGGCGGCGACCGGCAAACGGGUGCGGAACACGUACACAACCUUCCUACAAGUGGGGAAUAGCCCAGAGAAUUUGGAUUAAUACCCCGUAACAUAUAAAGAUGGCAUCUAUUUUUAUAUUAUAGCUACGGCGCUUGUUGAUGGGUGUGCGGCUGAUUAGGCAGUUGGCGGGUAAUGGCCCACCAAGCCUGCGAUCAGUAGCUGAUGUGAGAGCAUGAUCAGCCACACGGGCACUGAGACACGGGCCCGACUCCUACGGGAGGCAGCAGUAAGGAAUAUUGGACAAUGGGCGCAAGCCUGAUCCAGCCCAUGCCGCGUGAAGGAUUAAGGUCCUCUGGAUUGUAAACUUCUUUAUAAGGGACGAAAAAGGGAAUUCUUUCUCACUUGACGGUACCUUAUGAAUAAGCACCGGCUAACUCCGUG
rnacentral:rRNA from 1 species